rnacentral:misc_RNA from 1 species
GGUGAAGAACGUAGCGAAAUGCGAUAAGUAAUGUGAAUUGCAGAAUUCAGUGAAUCAUCGAAUCUUUGAACGCACCUUGCACCCUUUGGUAUUCCGAAGGGUAUGCUCGUUUGAGUGUCAUUGUACUCUCACACUUCUAAUUCCUUUCGGGAUUUGGAGCGGUGGACUUGGGUGUUGCUGCUUUAGUUGUGGCUCACCUCAAAUAAGUUAGUGCAACUCUUGGUUGGACAUAGUACGGCGUGAUAAGUGUCUUCGCCGGCGCCUCUGUAAGGAGGGUGGCCGAUCGGGAGCUCUGUGCUUCAAACCGUCUUCGGACAAUCUUUGACAACUUGACCUCAAAUCGAGUAGGACUACCCGCUGAACUUAAGCAUAUCAAUAAGCGGAGGA